UUUGCCUGAAAUGCUGGUUAUUACCCGUUAGGCAAUCCAAGCCAUGAUUCAAAAGAGAUUGGGCCUAAUCCUGAUCAUCCCAGCAUCCCUGCCUGCUGAAACCCGGAGGAAGACUCUCUGCCUGUGGGUUUUGUGAAAGGGAUGUUUUGAGGGAGGAAUUAAAAAAAUCAAAAUACUUGAAUUGAAUGCUGAGGUUUAUUUGAUUCUCAAACUACAGAACUAGCAGAAGGAAACUUACAGAAGAAGAGAAAAGGGAAAGAUGACGAGGUGUCAAAGAAUGCAGGGGAGAGGGGGAUGAUGGACCAUCUGGUGGUAAAGGCCACAAGCAUAAAUUUUCAAGGAUGGUCCACGAUGGAUGAGAG